GAUCCUGGCUCAGGAUGAACGCUGGCGGCGUGCAUAACACAUUCAAGUCGAACGAGAUAGCAAUAUCGAGUGGCGGACGGGUGAGUAACGCGUGAGCAACCUACCCUUGCGUGGGGGAUACCUUCUGGAAACGGAAGCUAAUACCGCAUAACACACAGAGACCGCAUGAUCACUGUGUCAAAGAUUUAUUGCGCAAAGAUGGGCUCGCGUCCGAUUAGAUAGUUGGUG
rnacentral:rRNA from 1 species